GACGAACGCUGGCGGUGUGCUUAACACAUGCAAGUCGAACGAUGAAGCCCAGCUUGCUGGGUGGAUUAGUGGCGAACGGGUGAGUAACACGUGAGUAACCUGCCCCUGACUCUGGGAUAAGCGUUGGAAACGACGUCUAAUACUGGAUAUGACUACUGGUCGCAUGGCCUGGUGGUGGAAAGAUUUUUUGGUUGGGGAUGGACUCGCGGCCUAUCAGCUUGUUGGUGAGGUAAUGGCUCACCAAGGCGACGACGGGUAGCCGGCCUGAGAGGGGGACCGGCCACACUGGGACUGAGACACGGCCCAGACUCCUACGGGAGGCAGCAGUAGGGAAUAUUGCACAAUGGGCGAAAGCCUGAUGCAGCAACGCCGCGUGAGGGAUGACGGCCUUCGGGUUGUAAACCUCUUUUAGUAGGGAGGAAGCGAAAGUGACGGUACCUGCAGAAAAAGCACCGGCUAACUACGUGCCAGCAGCCGCCGUAACAC
rnacentral:rRNA from 1 species